GCCUUUGUGGUGUAAUGUUUAGCACACUCGGUUUGUAUCGAGAGGUCCGAGGUUCGAGUCCCGGCGAAAGCA
rnacentral:tRNA from 1 species